rnacentral:tRNA from 1 species
UUUAAUAUGGCAGAUUAAAGUGCAAUGAAUUUAAGAUUCAUAAAUAAAAUUUAAUAUUUUUAUUAAAA